UUACCACUCUGGCCUUUUGGCUUAGAUCAAGUGUAGUAUCUGUUCUUAAUAGUUUAACCACUAUUACGAGGGCACCGCCCUCCGUAUUUGGUUAUCUAAUUUUUGCCGCCCUUGCUCCUUUGUGCUCUGCUUGCAACACGAGGGACGUGAUGACCUUGCUAUUGCAGUACAGGCUUGUGUCGUCGGGGGAUU
rfam:Gymnopus luxurians FD-317 M1 unplaced genomic scaffold GYMLTscaffold_24, whole genome shotgun sequence.